rnacentral:tRNA from 1 species
UAAAGGCUUAAGUUAAUAAACUAGUAUCCUUCAAAGAUAGAAUUUCCUACCUAGUAG